rnacentral:rRNA from 1 species
AGCGAACGUUUGCGGCGGGCUUAACACAUGCAAGUCGAACGGGCUGUUCCUUCGGGGGCAGUCAGUGGCGCACGGGUGCGUAACACGUAGGUAAUCAACCCUCUGGUUGGGGAUAACACUUCGAAAGGAGUGCUAAUACCCGGUAUGGCGCAGCGGUCUUCGGAUCGCGGCGAGAAAGACCCGCAAGGGUUGCCAGAGGACGAGCCUGCGGCCCAUCAGCUAGUUGGCGAGGUAACGGCUCACCAAGGCGAAGACGGGUAGCUGGUCUGAGAGGAUGAUCAGCCACACUGGAACUGAGACACGGUCCAGACUCCUACGGGAGGCAGCAGUGGGGAAUAUUGCGCAAUGGGCGAAAGCCUGACGCAGCCACGCCGCGUGAGCGAUAAAGGCCUCGGUCGUAAGACGUCUGUGGGAGGAGAAGAAGUAAAGACCUAGUGAAGAGCAGGCCGUUGACGGUAGUCUCCUUAGUCAAGCACCGG